AAAGGCCGUUGUAUUCACGGAGAGAUUCUGAAAAAAAAAACAAUUCGUUGUUAUUAAUAGUUGUGAAAAAUUUGCCUAUUUUUCGAAAAAAAAUUAUACGAUUAGUUGAUACAUCGUUGGAGAAGUGAAAGAGGGAACAGAGAGAUUAAGAUAACGAUCGUGAAAGAAGCGAAUUUAGCUCACGAAGAGUCUAAUCGUCUCUUGUAAACAAGAUCUCUUCUUAUUACGUAUCGUAUAAUUAACAUUUGGAUGUUUUUUUUAGAGUGCAAUAAUGUUUUAAUACGGAAAGACGAGUUUUAAUUUUAUAUUAAUUUUUACAAUGAAAUUUUGAUCUUUUAAAUGAUCAUUUAUAAGGAAUGUUAUAUUUUAUCAAUAGUUUGAUUAAUUAUAAGUUUAUAUAAUAAUUAUAUAUCGCAAACAAUUACUUAAUAAAUGUAGGAGAAUAAAAGAAGGUUAUAAUCACACGUAUAUCUGAUAUCGGUUAACAGGCGUCGCUUCAUGCAACUGGUGUGUGAUCGACAAAUCACGAGUGUAAUAGCUUGUACAUGAUCAAAAUCAGAUCUCUACAAAACAAUAAAAUUAAUCGAUGGAGCGAAAAUAUAUAAUAUAUAUAUAUGAUAAUAAUAUAUAAUAACAAAUGAUAGAAUUUAAUUCCAAACGAAUUAUAAUACAAUUAAUUUUGUUACGAUAAAUUGGAUUACAUCAAUUCGAAAACGAUGCUCUAUAACAAAGUGUAAUUUGACUAAAUAUUCCCUCGCUCUUAAUUAUUUGCAACGUUACCCACUACGGAAUACAAUACAACAACUAAAAUUAACUUUAUUUUUAUUAACUUGAUAAUGUGGGCAUUCUCUGAUGGAAAUACAACGCAUGCGCAAUUUUCAAUAGCGCGAAAGAUAAUUCGUAUCGAUUACAAUUGCACGCGUUUCACAUACAACGAUCUUUGAUCUGGCAGCAAAUUGUUUCUUUCUAACAGUUUAGCGAGACUCGUGCAAAGUCUACGAAGUAACUGGAAUAUGCAAUAUUAUCACAAAAUCGCGGUAAUAUCUUUUUCAGCCGCAAAACCGCGAUCAAUAUCGCGCGUCCCAGGAGAAAUGCUACUUUUUGCCGGAAACUACGGAAUCUACCGACGGAAGCGAGUUAAAAGAAAAAAGAUCAGGUAAUGGAUCGUUGGUCAGUUUGAGAAAAUGAGUAAAAUCGUGGUGAGAUAAUAAUUCUUGGCAAUAAUUGAGGACACUUUCGAGAACGACACGAAAAGGCCAUUCUUGGCAGGAGUAAUGAGUUGACUUCGAUUAGCCAAGUAAAGAUUCGCUUCCAGGCCUAUGAGUUACCGCAGAACUUUCCUUGCACUACAUCUUGACCUAAUUUUAUCAUUCUAUCGUUCGAGAUAUUCAAAAUAUUUGUUUUAUCGAUAAUUACAAUUUCGAAUUAUAUAUAUUCUAUGUUUUUCGUCUCUAUUUUCCAUCUUUUUUUUUAAUUUUAUCAUUCAUUCGAAUAUAAUAAAAAUAUAAUAAAACUAAGCAAAGAUCAUCAUCGUGAUCAUCAUAAUCAAGAAUACAGAUUUAUUACGAAAUAAAAUGGAAAUGACAUUUAAUUUAUACGUUUGCUCACCUGCGGAAUCAUAUUUAUGUAAUAAUUGUAAUUACUCUUUAAACCGUUUAUUCAUUUCAUUAUUUUUUAUUAAAGUAUAAAAAAAAAAAGAUUAAAUUAUAAUUCUCUGAUAUAAAUUCAAUGUUUAAAAACUGAAGAUAAUAUGUAGAUAAUAUGUAGAUCGUAGAUAAUACAUAGACUUUUUUUAAUUA